rnacentral:rRNA from 1 species
UACGGAGGGUGCAGGCGGUACUCGGAAUCACUGGGCGUAAAGGGCGCGUAGGCGGCCUAGCAAGUCUGGUGUGAAAGCCCAGGGCUCAACCCUGGAAGGGCACUGGAAACUGUUAGGCUUGAGUUCCGGAGAGGAGGGGGGAAUUCCCGGUGUAGCGGUGAAAUGCGUAGAUAUCGGGAGGAAUACCGGUGGCGAAGGCGCCCCUCUGGACGGAAACUGACGCUGAGGCGCUAAAGCGUGGGGAGCAAACAGG